UACAGAGGGUGCGAGCGUUGUCCGGAAUCACUGGGCGUAAAGGGCGCGUAGGCGGCUCGGUAAGGUUGCGGUGAAAGCCCGGGGCUCAACCCCGGGUCGGCCGUGGCAACUGCUGAGCUAGAGCACUGUAGAGGCAGGUGGAAUUCCGGGUGUAGCGGUGGAAUGCGUAGAUAUCGGGAGGAACACCUGUGGCGAAGGCGGCCUGCUGGGCUGCACCUGACGCUGAACCGCGAAAGCCAGGGGAGCGAACGGG
rnacentral:rRNA from 1 species